GCGAAACGAGGGCAAGGAGGGGGGGAAAGACGGGGGUAGAAAGCGGUACUCGGAAUCACUGGGCGUAAAAAGCAUGUAGGCUGAUAGAUAAGUUGGAAGUGAAAUCCUAUGGCGUAACCAUAGAACUGCUUCCAAAACUGUCUGUCUAGAAUAUGGGAGAGGUAGAUGGAAUUUCUGGUGUAGGGGUAAAAUCCGUAGAGAUCAGAAGGAAUACCGAUUGCGAAGGCGAUCUACUGGAACAUUAUUGACGCUGAGAUGCGAAAGCGUGGGGAGCAAACAGGAUUAGAUACCCGUGUAGUC
rnacentral:rRNA from 1 species